AGUGAACGCUGGCGGUAGGCCUAACACAUGCAAGUCGAACGGCAGCACAGUAAGAGCUUGCUCUUACGGGUGGCGAGUGGCGGACGGGUGAGGAAUACAUCGGAAUCUACUUUUUCGUGGGGGAUAACGUAGGGAAACUUACGCUAAUACCGCAUACGACCUACGGGUGAAAGCAGGGGAUCUUCGGACCUUGCGCGAUUGAAUGAGCCGAUGUCGGAUUAGCUAGUUGGCGGGGUAAAGGCCCACCAAGGCGACGAUCCGUAGCUGGUCUGAGAGGAUGGUCAGCCCAACUGGAACUGGGACACGGUCCAGACCUCUACGGGGGGGAGCAGUGGGGGAUAUUGGACAAUGGGCGCAAGCCUGAUCCAGCCAUACCGGGGGGGUGAAGAAGGCCUUCGGGUUGUAAAGCCCCUUUGUUGGGAAAGAAAAGAAGCAGGUUGAUACCCCGCUGUUCUGACGGUACCCAAAGAAUAAGCACCGGGUAACUUCGUGC
rnacentral:rRNA from 1 species